GAGGUAGUCCUCGAAGUCAAUGAUUGUGAAUCAUUGUCAACUUGUCAAUCUUAUCUCCUUGGUAAGAUGAUCAAGUCAUCUUGAGCCAAUGAUGUUCUUAGUCUGGUAUAUAUUGAUGUAUUGGACCUACGAACAUGAGUGCCAUAAAUCUGAAUUAUUUGAAAUAUUCAAAUGAUUCCGUAAUAAAGUAGAGAAGCAAAUUAGGAAGAGU
rnacentral:lncRNA from 1 species